GGAUCGGUCUCUUCUGUUCCGCGUCCUCCACCUCGGUAGCCCCUGGUGACUCUGUUACAGCCUCUGUUGACCUAUGAUCUGCAGGGAGACGCACAGCCAGGACAUCCUGGAACCUGGGAAAGGGUAUAUGCCCUCAUUUUGCUUAAGACCUCUGGCCAGAGCAGGGCAUGGAAGAUUCCUUUUAAAAAGUAAUACUGAGAAGACAUGAAAAAUGUGGACAUGAUAAUUUACUGUUGAGAAAUGGCUGUAAAAGUGUGGAUGAGUGUCAGGUGCACAAAGAAGGUUAUAAUGGACUUAACAAGUGUUUCACAACUACUCAGAGCAAAGUAUUUCAAUGUGGUAAAUGUUUGAAAGUCCUUUAUAAAUUUUUAAAUUCAAACAAAAAAUAAGAUAUACUGGAAGAAAACCUUUCAAAUGUCAAAAAUGUGUCAAAUCAUUUUGCAUGCUUUCACACAAAACCCAACAUAAAAGCAUUUAUACUAGAGAGAAGUCCUACAAAUGUAAAAAAUGUGGAAAAACCUUUAAUUGGUCCUCAAUCCUUACUAAUAAUAAGAAAAUUCAUACUGAACAGAAACCUUACAAAUGUGAAGAAUGUGGCAAAGCUUUUAAGCAACACUCAACCCUUACUACACAUAAAAUAAUUUGUGCUGAAGAAAAACUUUACAGAUGUGAAGAAUGUGGCAAAGCAUUUUGCCAGCCCUCAACCCUAACUAGAUAUAAGAG
rnacentral:lncRNA from 1 species